rnacentral:lncRNA from 1 species
AUAAAUUCAUCGCACUUUAUGUUCACUUCUCUACAACAACUCCUCAUAUUUCUAUUCCUAUUUAUUUCUUCAUUUUCUCCUUCCUCCCUAUUACUUAAGAUAUUACUAAUACAAUGGCUAAGUUUGCAACAGUCUUAAUAUUACUUGCAAAAGAAGUUGCUCCACCAAAAUUUGUGAAAGUGGUAAAGCGUCCAAUUCAUAAUGUGUUGGCUACCAUCAAUGAAGAAGAAGCUUAUGCUUAAACCCUAGUUUUUGCCAUUAAUCAUCGAAAGAGAGAAGAAUAUAACAUCUUACUCCUUUUGAUAUGCUAAUUGAUUACAUAUCAAACACCUUAAUUCCGACUAUAUGUAUAUUUUAUAUGGUACGGGAGAGGUGACAUCUACUUGUUAAUUUUAUAGUAGAUGAGUGAUCAUGUGUUAUACACAAGAAUAUUUAGGAGUAAUUAUUAUGCGGUCCGUAAACUCUUUCGAUCGAUAAAAUGCAUGGAGUCUAUCAACAGUUCACGUUCUUUUGAAUGUAGUGCUAUUAUGUAUGUCUCUUCUUUAUUUUUUGUUUCUUUUCUCCUUUUCUGUUUCUCCUUUUAGUGCGAUUUAUUUGAUACAAUAUCAGAUAUAUUGGGAUUGAAACAACAUGGUGCAUGUAAAAUCUAACAAUGUAAAGUUUGUUGGACGAUAAAUCAGAGUAUAAAAGAAAAAUAUAGUACUAAACUAAGCAUAAUAAUUUAUUACUAUUAGUUGGUCAAUCAACCUAUAUAUGAUCUAUCACUAAUAUAAAAAGAGAACAUAAAUUUUUUGAGAGAAUAAUCUUCCCCAAACAUGAUUCUCGUAAAUAGUGGCGGAUCCAGAAUUUUUCAUUCAUGGGUGCUAAACUAUUUUUAAUCUGAAAAUUACUACUAAGACUGGGUGCUCCAUUAAUGUAUUUAUGUUAAUUUACUAGGUUUUUAU